UGCAGUCGAGCGGAAACGAGUUAUCUGAACCUUCGGGGGACGAUAACGGCGUCGAGCGGCGGACGGGUGAGUAAUGCCUAGGAAAUUGCCCUGAUGUGGGGGAUAACCAUUGGAAACGAUGGCUAAUACCGCAUGAUGCCUACGGGCCAAAGAGGGGGACCUUCGGGCCUCUCGCGUCAGGAUAUGCCUAGGUGGGAUUAGCUAGUUGGUGAGGUAAGGGCUCACCAAGGCGACGAUCCCUAGCUGGUCUGAGAGGAUGAUCAGCCACACUGGAACUGAGACACGGUCCAGACUCCUACGGGAGGCAGCAGUGGGGAAUAUUGCACAAUGGGCGCAAGCCUGAUGCAGCCAUGCCGCGUGUGUGAAGAAGGCCUUCGGGUUGUAAAGCACUUUCAGUCGUGAGGAAGGUAGUGUAGUUAAUAGCUGCAUUAUUUGACGUUAGCGACAGAAGAAGCACCGGCUAACUCCGUGCCAGCAGCCGCGGUAAUACGGAGGGUGCGAGCGUUAAUCGGAAUUACUGGGCGUAAAGCGCAUGCAGGUGGUUUGUUAAGUCAGAUGUGAAAGCCCGGGGCUCAACCUCGGAAUUGCAUUUGAAACUGGCAGACUAGAGUACUGUAGAGGGGGGUAGAAUUUCAGGUGUAGCGGUGAAAUGCGUAGAGAUCUGAAGGAAUACCGGUGGCGAAGGCGGCCCCCUGGACAGAUACUGACACUCAGAUGCGAAAGCGUGGGGAGCAAACAGGAUUAGAUACCCUGGUAGUCCACGCCGUAAACGAUGUCUACUUGGAGGUUGUGGCCUUGAGCCGUGGCUUUCGGAGCUAACGCGUUAAGUAGACCGCCUGGGGAGUACGGUCGCAAGAUUAAAACUCAAAUGAAUUGACGGGGGCCCGCACAAGCGGUGGAGCAUGUGGUUUAAUUCGAUGCAACGCGAAGAACCUUACCUACUCUUGACAUCCAGAGAACUUUCCAGAGAUGGAUUGGUGCCUUCGGGAACUCUGAGACAGGUGCUGCAUGGCUGUCGUCAGCUCGUGUUGUGAAAUGUUGGGUUAAGUCCCGCAACGAGCGCAACCCUUAUCCUUGUUUGCCAGCGAGUAAUGUCGGGAACUCCAGGGAGACUGCCGGUGAUAAACCGGAGGAAGGUGGGGACGACGUCAAGUCAUCAUGGCCCUUACGAGUAGGGCUACACACGUGCUACAAUGGCGCAUACAGAGGGCAGCCAACUUGCGAAAGUGAGCGAAUCCCAAAAAGUGCGUCGUAGUCCGGAUUGGAGUCUGCAACUCGACUCCAUGAAGUCGGAAUCGCUAGUAAUCGUGGAUCAGAAUGCCACGGUGAAUACGUUCCCGGGCCUUGUACACACCGCCCGUCACACCAUGGGAGUGGGCUGCAAAAGAAGUAGGUAGUUUAACCUUCGGGGGGACGCUUACC
rnacentral:rRNA from 1 species